rnacentral:rRNA from 1 species
UACGUAGGUGGCAAGCGUUGUCCGGAUUUACUGGGCGUAAAGAGCGCGCAGGCGGUCGUCUAAGUCGAAUGUGAAAGCCCCCGGCUCAACUGGGGAGGGUCAUUCGAUACUGUUCGACUCGAAGGCAGGAGAGGGAAGUGGAAUUCCGGGUGUAGUGGUGAAAUGCGUAGAUAUCGGGAGGAACACCAGUGGCGAAGGCGGCUUUCUGGUCUGCUCUUGACGCUGAGGCGCGAAAGCUAGGGUAGCAAACGGG